UACAGAGGUGGCAAGCGUUGUUCGGAAUUACUGGGCGUAAAGGGCGCGUAGGCGGCCAUCUAAGUCAGACGUGAAAUCCCCCGGCUUAACCUGGGAACUGCAUCUGAUACUGGACGGCUGGAGUAUGGGGGAGGGAUGUAGAAUUCCAGGUGUAGCGGUGAAAUGCGUAGAUAUCCGGAGGAACACCGGUGGCGAAGGCGGCUUCCUGGACCGACACUGACGCUGAGGCGCGAAAGCUAGGGGAGCAAACGGG
rnacentral:rRNA from 1 species